CUUUCGCCUCCGGAGUGCUCGUCGGCUGGCAGGCGAACCGGCUAAGGAGGCGCUACCUGGACUGGAGGAAGCGGAGGCUGCAGGACAAGCUGGCGACGACGCAGAAGAAGCUGGACCUGGCCUGAGUGGCCGCCUCGCGAUGCGCGCGGCUCCCUCGCCCUCCCGCCCGCGGUGCCGGCCCUUCCCCAGCGUCGCUUGCUGAAGAGGGAUGUAGAAUACCGGAAAGAAAUAAGUUCUUGCACUUUAUGAAUCUAUUUUUAAAAUAAARAAAAUUUAAACAUC